rnacentral:rRNA from 1 species
GUGGGGAAUAUUGGACAAUGGGCGAAAGCCUGAUCCAGCCAUGCCGCGUGUGUGAAGAAGGUCUUCGGAUUGUAAAGCACUUUAAGUUGGGAGGAAGGGCAGUAAGUUAAUACCUUGCUGUUUUGACGUUACCGAAAGAAUAAGCACCGGCUAACUUCGUGCCAGCAGCCGCGGUAAUACGAAGGGUGCAAGCGUUAAUCGGAAUUACUGGGCGUAAAGCGCGCGUAGGUGGUUUUGUAAGUUGGAGGUGAAAUCCCCGGGCUCAACCUGGGAACUGCCUCCAAAACUACUGAGCUAGAGUACGGUAGUAGGUAGUGGAAUUUCCUGUGUAGCGGUGAAAUGCGUAGAUAUAGGAAGGAACACCAGUGGCGAAGGCGACUACCUGGACUGAUACUGACACUGAGGUGCGAAAGCGUGGGGAGCAAACAGGAUUAGAUACCCCGGUAGUCC